GAUAUGUCAACACAGUUGCUGACUUGCUCCUUGGAAAAAUUUGUUCUAUAUUCAGUUGUUUACCAACACUGUCUCCAAAAAAAGUCUCUACAAAUACAAUCCACAAGAGAGAAGAGUUCAUAAUAUCAUUGCUGAGCUCUUUCUUUUCUAGGAUUGAAAGGCAGCAACUUUUCAAAAAGGUUAAAUGCCCAACAAUACAAGAGGAAACUUUUAAAUGUCUGGUUUUUUUCCCCCCAUCCAAUGAAAAUAUAGAAGCAGAGGUGGGAGUGGGUGCCACGUGGUGCCCAUCUGCCUUUUGCAGGUAGCUGCUCCUCACACCAUCAACUUUUUAAGAAUGGCACCCAGCUCACAGCACAUCUGGUCAAGAGGGCUGCUCACAGCCAUGACUUACAGGCAACCUUGAGUUCACUGUGAUA